rnacentral:rRNA from 1 species
UACAGAGGGUGCAAGCGUUAAUCGGAAUUACUGGGCGUAAAGAGCACGUAGGUGGUUGUUCAAGUUGGAUGUGAAAGCCCCGGGCUCAACCUGGGAAGGUCAUCCAAAACUGGACGACUAGAGUAUGGUAGAGGGAAGUGGAAUUUCCGGUGUAGCGGUGAAAUGCGUAGAUAUCGGAAGGAACACCAGUGGCGAAGGCGGCCUGCUGGGCAGUGGCUGACACUGAGGCGCGACAGCGUGGGGAGCAAACAGG